GGGCCCGCACAAGCAGUGGAGCAUGUGGUUUAAUUCGAUGAUACGCGAGGAACCUUACCAGGGCUUAAAUGGGAGAUGACAGGGGCAGAGACGCCCUUUUCUUCGGACAUCUUUCAAGGUGCUGCAUGGUUGUCGUCAGCUCGUGCCGUGAGGUGUCAGGUUAAGUCCUAUAACGAGCGCAACCCCUGUUGUUAGUUGCCAGCGAGUCAUGUCGGGAACUCUAACAAGACUGCCGGUGCAAACCGUGAGGAAGGUGGGGAUGACGUCAAAUCAUCACGGCCCUUACGUCCUGGGCUACACACGUGCUACAAUGGCAGUGACAGAGGGACGCUACCAGGUGACUGGAUGCAAAUCUCAAAAAGCUGUCUCAGUUCGGAUUGUUGUCUGCAACUCGACAACAUG
rnacentral:rRNA from 1 species